rnacentral:lncRNA from 1 species
CAAUGGUUAAAGUUGAAUGACUUGAAUUGUCAACACCAGAAUUCCAGAAACAGACACAUAUAUAAAAGGUGACAUCUUUUAUAAAAGCAUCUAUAUAUGUGUCGACAUACCAAACUCACUACUACCUUUCGUCUUUUUCUAUUAUUGUUUUCAUGAUUCAGUGGUUAAAUAAAGCCAACAUUCUAUUAAUAUUAUGUUUUAAUUCAUUUGUUGACACAGAAUCCAGUCAUCUAUUAAUUGUAUUUACUUUCU